UUGGUCACUGGUCACUGGUGGUCACUGGUCACUGGUCACUGGUCACUGGUCACUGGUCACUGGUGGGUACUGGUCACUGGUGGGCAGUGGUGGGUACUGGUCACUGGUGGUCACUGCUGGUCACUGGUGGGCAGUGGUGGGUACUGGUCACUGGUGGGCAGUGGUCACUGGUGGGCACCGGUGGUCACUGGUGGGCACUUGGUGGUCACUUGGAGCGCUGAUGGUCACCGUUGGUCACUGGUCACCGUUGGUCACUGGUCACUGGUGGGCACUGGUGGUCACUGGUGGCAGUGGUCACCGUUGGUCACUGGUCACUGGUCACUGGUCACUGCUGGUGAUGGUCACUGGUGGCACUGGUCACUGGUCACUGGUCACUGGUCACUGGUGGUGCUGGUCACUGGUGGCCAGCACCAAUCACUGCUCUCAGUCACUGGUGGCACUGGUUUAACUGGUGUCCAUCCGGGAUGUCACUGGUUUAACUGGUGUCACUGGUGUCUGGCACUGGUUUAACUGGUCUAACUGGUCUCUAACUAGUCUAACUGGUCUCUAACUGGUCUCUAACUGGUCUCUAACUAGUCUAACUGGUCUCUAACUGGUCUCUAACUGGUCUCCAACUGGUCCCUAACUGGUCUCUAACUGGUCUCUAACUGGUAUAACUGGUCUAACUGGUCUGUAGCUGAUCUCUAGCUGGUCUCUAACUGGUCUAACUGGUCUCUAACUGGUCUAACUGGUCUAACUAGUCUCUAACUGGUCUAACUGGUCUAACUGGUCUCUAACUGGUCUAACUGGUGUCCCGCUGUCCGGCACUGGUCAGCGCAGUCCGGCCGGGCGUGGCCGGGGUGGGGGAGGGGCCGUUUGGGGGGUUCUCCCCCCCCCGCCCCUCCCCCCAGGAAGGAGCGGGG
rnacentral:lncRNA from 1 species